AUUGAACGCUGGCGGCAUGCCUUACACAUGCAAGUCGAACGGUAACAGGUUAAGCUGACGAGUGGCGAACGGGUGAGUAAUGUAUCGGAACGUGCCCAGUCGUGGGGGAUAACUGCUCGAAAGAGCAGCUAAUACCGCAUACGACCUGAGGGUGAAAGCGGGGGAUCGCAAGACCUCGCGCGAUUGGAGCGGCCGAUAUCAGAUUAGGUAGUUGGUGAGGUAAAGGCUCACCAAGCCGACGAUCUGUAGCUGGUCUGAGAGGACGACCAGCCACACUGGGACUGAGACACGGCCCAGACUCCUACGGGAGGCAGCAGUGGGGAAUUUUGGACAAUGGGCGCAAGCCUGAUCCAGCCAUGCCGCGUGCGGGAAGAAGGCCUGCGGGUUGUAAACCGCUUUUGUCAGGGAAGAAAAGGUUCUGGCUAAUACCUGGGACUCAUGACGGUACCGGAAGAAUAAGCACCGGCUAACUACGG
rnacentral:rRNA from 1 species